rnacentral:misc_RNA from 1 species
GUACCCUCCAGCCUUGCUGGGUGUUGGGUGUUUGUUCCGCUGCGCGCGUGAACUCGCCUUAAAUACAUUGGCAGCCAGCCGUCCUGUGUGGGAGUGCAGCACAUUUUGCGCUCUCCGCGGUGUACGGUGGCGUCCACAAAGUCUAUACUCUUAC